rnacentral:rRNA from 1 species
UCUGGUGACAAUGGCAAAGAGGUCACACCUGUUCCCAUGCCGAACACAGUAGUUAAGCUCUUUAGCGCCGAUGGUAGUCGGACUUACGUUCC